rnacentral:rRNA from 1 species
UACGAAGGGGGCUAGCGUUGCUCGGAAUCACUGGGCGUAAAGCGCACGUAGGCGGACUCUUAAGUCGGUGGUGAAAUCCUGGAGCUCAACUCCAGAACUGCCUUCGAUACUGAGAGUCUCGAGUCCGGGAGAGGUGAGUGGAACUGCGAGUGUAGAGGUGAAAUUCGUAGAUAUUCGCAAGAACACCAGUGGCGAAGGCGGCUCACUGACCCGGUACUGACGCUGAGGUGCGAAAGCGUGGGGAGCAAACAGG